rnacentral:lncRNA from 1 species
CCGGAUUUCCUUUUAACUAUGGAAAAAUGCUUUAUAAUUUUUUAAGGUCCGCAUAAGUUUGCAAAUUUAAAAAGAGAUAUUCCACACAGUGUCAUCCCCCAAACAAUCUAAGACAAUACAAUAAAUUGUUUUAUCACUAAUAACAUUCACUUAAACAAUAAGGUUUACUGAGGAUAAUGCUUGGGGUCUCAACUGUUUAAUAAGUACUAGUGAGUUUCUAGUUUGUGCCAGAGGUCUGAAUGUCAGUAUUCAACACUGCAGAUGAUGACCUAUUUGCCAAAAGGAAGUUAAAAUUUAUAUCUGUCACAAGCAGGUAAGAGCUGCUCGGGAAAACAGCUACUAAAACCAGUAAUAAUGUAUUCAGCCCUUUCCUAAACAGUGAAUAUUAAGGCAUAGUUGUAACUAGAAGAGGGAAGAACUGACAUUUCUCAGCUGCCAGCACCAUAGCUAGCUAGGCUGUCUGUCCUCUUGGUCCUUUCUCGCAGUUCUGAAAGGCGCCUGCUGGCAUUGCUGUGGAGGUAUCUACUCACCAAUUUAUCUGACAGGUGGUUAGCUAUUAACAUAAAUAAAAGUUGUGACCUGUCUGCCACUUUCAAUAACUCAAGUGCUAUAUCCCCAAUCUGUCAUGUCCUUGGCAGCCCUUUUGUUUAUUAGUAAAUGCAUUAUUCAUUAGGAAAACCUGAUAGGAAAAAUUGCCUUAAUUUUAUUCAUUUUAAUUGUACUCUGCUAUUAUCCCUUUAGCAGCAGUUUUCUUUGCUGUACUCUGGCUGUUAUGAGAACUAAUGGUGACUGGGCUUGUUGAUAUGCCACUACAAAGGAACAUGAAGGAGGAUGACACUUUGCUGCUGCCUUGUACAAGUUCUUCAAGAUGUGCAGGGAUAAAUAAGGUUGUACAACUAACUUCACCAUAGUGAAACAGUUCAAUUUCUGAAGUUGAUUUUCAAUGUAUGAACAUAAUAGGAACUACACUGGGACAAUCCAAAGGUCUUUCUAACCCAGUGUCCGAUCUCCUAAAGCAGCUGGCAGUGAAUUUUAGCAGUGACACACACAAUGAAGCCCAGGAAAGUAAGAGGUGCUAUAUAAUGAGAACACUCUCAUUGGCCUUCAGAUUGCAAGAAAUGGUGAUGUACAAAGACAUGAGACAGGAUUUCCAAUUCUCACAAAGAGUGCCUUAUUUGUGAGAAAUGGCACGAGGUCAGAAGAGGAAGUAAACCUGCUAGGACCAGAUCUCUGAUUCAUUUACAUAAAACAGAUGAUCCCUCAUGCUAGUAUGACCUGAUGCUACUCAGUAUCUGCCAAAACAAAAAGGGAAACACCCCAAGCUGGCAAUGAAAUGCUAGAUAAAAUCAGGCACCAUUACUCUUAUUUUUUACAAAACUUAUAUUUUCUAUCAUGCUCUGAUGCUAAUCUAAUUGCUACUCAUCAACUUACUUCUUUUCACGUUUUGAAUUUCAUGUAUAUGGGAAAAUCAUGAGAACCGGAAAAAAUCUGGAACAUUGAGAUACAAAAAAGAUUUGGGUUUGCAUUCAGAGAGCUACAGCUAGGCAAACUGCUGGCCAAAGACAUGAUUUAAUUCUAACAUUGCGACCCUGCCAGAAAGGAAGAGAAGCUAGAAGCAUAACACAGAGCCAGAGAUGACCACUAAACUGAUAUUUUCUUGGAUUAACACAGAUUAAUUUUUAAAACAGAAGAACAAUUUUUGCAGUAUUACUGAUAAAUAACUCUCAAAUUAGACAGAUUCCAAAAUUAAGGGAAUUCUUGAUCCAAAUUUCAAGUGCAGAAAUGAAACCAUAAUUGUGCAAAUGCAAGCCAUUUCUAAAAACAUCAGGUGAUAUUUUGAUGUAAGUAACAUACCACUUGUUAUAUCUAGCAGCUACUAUCUUGUCACUCUCUCCACUUGCAAUCACAGAUUGAGUGCUUGUCAGGAAUCCAAACUUUAUCUGUAUCUUUGAAAACAAAAGAAAAUGAGGGAAUGUUUAUACUUCUAAAGACCUUAAGAGACGGAGAAAAAAAUGUUUCACUGGCAUUUAUGGGCAUCAUUAAAAACAAACAUUUUGCCAUCAACACGAACAGGCCAUCACUGUCAAGACAAAAUCAGCCUUUCUACCUGUUGAAGAACAUUGUCAUAAUGAUCAGGGCACAAAUGAAUUCCCUUUAUCUGUAUGCUCAGAAAGUUGCCUG